CCUACGGGUGGCAGCAGUGAGGAAUAUUGGUCAAUGGUCGGGAGACUGAACCAGCCAAGCCGCGUGAGGGAUGAAGGUACAGAGUAUCGUAAACCUCUUUUGUCAGGGAACAAAGGCUGGGACGUGUCCCCGGAUGAGUGUACCUGAAGAAAAAGCAACGGCUAACUCCGUGCCAGCAGCCGCGGUAAUACGGAGGAUGCGAGCGUUAUCCGGAUUUAUUGGGUUUAAAGGGGGCGCAGGGGGGCUGUUAAGGCAGGUGUGAAAGGCCGGGGGUCAACCCCGGCCCCGCCGUUGAAACUGGCAGUCGCGAGUUGGAGAGAGGUAUGCGGAAUGCGCGGUGUAGCGGUGAAAUGCAUAGAUAUCGCGAAGAACUCCGAUUGCGAAGGCAGCAUGCCGGCUCCACACUGACGCUGAGGCACGAAAGCGUGGGUAUCGAACAGGAUUAGAUACCCUUGUAGUC
rnacentral:rRNA from 1 species